rnacentral:tRNA from 1 species
AGUAAAAUGCCUGAAAUUAAAGGGUUAUCUUGAUAGGAUAAAUUAUGUACACUUAUACUUUUACUA